AGAGCCAAAAUAACUAAAAAUUCUCGUUUACUCAACUAACAGGUCAGGGGCAUGCGGCCCCGGGAACCGCAUUUGGCCAUCCCUGAAACAGUUGCAGGACACGUGAGAGGAGAGCGGUGCAACUGCAUGGUACUGUACCGUUUCUUUUGUAGGUGCAAUCUGGCGUGUCAAGGUCCUUUUUCACGAUACUAGAUUAGCUGGAAGUGCACGAUGUGUGUGCUGAUUUGGAGUUGAGCAGACUAUCUGUCCGGUUUCUUGACUUCUGGUACAGCUGAGGCUAUAGAGUGUAUUUGGUGAAUGCUGAUGCGUGUACGUGUGUGUGUACGUGUGUGUGUGUGUGUGUGUGUGUGUGUGUGUGUGUGUGUGUGUGUGUGUGUGUUCUGGUCAA